rnacentral:rRNA from 1 species
CGGAGCAACGCCGCGUGAGUGAUGAAGGCUUUCGGGUCGUAAAACUCUGUUGUUAGGGAAGAACAAGUACGAGAGUAACUGCUCGUACCUUGACGGUACCUAACCAGAAAGCCACGGCUAACUACGUGCCAGCAGCCGCGGUAAUACGUAGGUGGCAAGCGUUAUCCGGAAUUAUUGGGCGUAAAGCGCGCGCAGGCGGUUUCUUAAGUCUGAUGUGAAAGCCCACGGCUCAACCGUGGAGGGUCAUUGGAAACUGGGGAACUUGAGUGCAGAAGAGAAAAGCGGAAUUCCACGUGUAGCGGUGAAAUGCGUAGAGAUGUGGAGGAACACCAGUGGCGAAGGCGGCUUUUUGGUCUGUAACUGACGCUGAGGCGCGAAAGCGUGGGGAGCAAACAGGAUUAGAUACCCUGGUAGUCCACGCCGUAAACGAUGAGUGCUAAGUGUUAGAGGGUUUCCGCCCUUUAGUGCUGCAGCUAACGCAUUAAGCACUCCGCCUGGGGAGUACGGUCGCAAGACUG